GGUUGUGGCUCAUUGGUAGAGUGCUUUACUAGCACAUGUGAGGCACUGGGUUCGAAUCUCAGCACCA
rnacentral:tRNA from 1 species